rnacentral:lncRNA from 1 species
AUCAAAACCAAGAAAUAAGAAUCAAAAGCAAGAAACAACAAACACUUCAAAGUUAAAAUCGAACACAUUCGAAUAUCCGUAAAGUAUCGAAUCAAAGCAAAUUGCAUAGUGUGAUAUCCGUAAAAAGGAACAAAUCACAUAUACUAUUUUCUAAAAGCCAAAUAUCCCAUCCAAUCCGUAAAUUUAUAGAUAUAUAAUGUAAUUGUAUAUACAAAAAUUUAUAUCCAUACAUAUUUUAUAUGAAAAAUUACACUCAGUAACCAAAACAAAAAACCAUAAUUCACUAACUAACCAAACUUACAGUUUCUCUCCUCUUUUCUCUUACUAUCUCUAUCUACCCUC